UCUUUUUUUUUUACAAUACGGUUAUAUAAUAAAAUUAUAAUUAAAUAAUUCCGCAUUAUUUUUUAAAUUAUUUUAUACCGUUUUGAAGGCGUAAAAAAUUGUUAAUCGUUAUUGUAAUGUGAACUAAUCGAGUAAAAAUGAAGAGAGCAUACAUAGUAAAAGAAAUAUUUCAAAAAUUUCAGAAAAAUUCACGAAUCAAAGGCAGUAGGCGGUAGUUCACUAGGUAGACAUAUUUAGCCUCCCCUCAGAGGAAAAAUCUCUUUCGUCAGUAACUAAUAUAAGAGCUUAAUGCACUUCAUGCGUUUGAGAGACAAACAUCUUUUGAUAAAUAAUAUUAUUUUGAACCAUGAACAUUUUUUUCGCGGUUUUAUUCCUGGGAAGUGUUAAGAUUUUUGAUUGUAGACCACAAUCAGAUAGUACAAUCAUCAGCUAUGAAAAUGACCCAUUGCACGAUGGAUCAAAUGGAGAACAAUUGUACAAAUACAGUUACAAGACGAGUAAUAAUAUUGAAGUGGAGCAAAAUGGAAUCGUAGACUCAGAGGGAGUUCUCACAGUUAAAGGAUGUUUUUCUUAUGUGGACGAUAAGGGCGUAACGCAAAAAGUGUGCUAUAUUGCUGAUAAAAAUGGUUAUCGUAUAGCGCCUCUCCCUAUAGAUUCACCUCCGCUUCUACCGAGACCUUAUAUUAGUAGUGCUUUAUUGUCUAGUUUAUCAGGUCAAGGAUUAGGAUAAGUAACAAAAGUUUUCGACAAGUCAAUGAAUAAUGAUUUUACUCAUUGCAUUGUUUUUCAUUCCUUAUUAGCUUUCGUUAAUAAUAAUUGUUUGGAAUAUAUUAAGUACAUUGUAAAAUUAAUGGUUCAACAAAUAAUUUUGUCUUUAGUUACAAUAUAAGAAAGUUGUAUAUAUAUAUAGUUGAAUAUUUUAUAACCUGAUAAAUUUUUGUAGCAGUAUUAUUUUGAUUUAAUAAGAAUAAAACUAUUAAUCGGA